UGGAUCCAGACUUUGAUCCUGGCUCAGGACGAACGCUGGCGGCGUGCCUAACACAUGCAAGUCGAACGAGAGAUGAGGAGCUUGCUCUUCAAAUCGAGUGGCGAACGGGUGAGUAACGCGUGAGGAACCUGCCUCAAAGAGGGGGACAACAGUUGGAAACGACUGCUAAUACCGCAUAAGCCCACAGCUCGGCAUCGAGCAGAGGGAAAAGGAGUGAUCCGCUUUGAGAUGGCCUCGCGUCCGAUUAGCUAGUUGGUGAGGUAACGGCCCACCAAGGCAACGAUCGGUAGCCGGACUGAGAGGUUGAACGGCCACAUUGGGACUGAGACACGGCCCAGACUCCUACGGGAGGCAGCAGUGGGGAAUAUUGCACAAUGGGGGAAACCCUGAUGCAGCGACGCCGCGUGGAGGAAGAAGGUCUUCGGAUUGUAAACUCCUGUUGUUGAGGAAGAUAAUGACGGUACUCAACAAGGAAGUGACGGCUAACUACGUGCCAGCAGCCGCGGUAAAACGUAGGUCACAAGCGUUGUCCGGAAUUACUGGGUGUAAAGGGAGCGCAGGCGGGAGAACAAGUUGGAAGUGAAAUCCAUGGGCUCAACCCAUGAACUGCUUUCAAAACUGUUUUUCUUGAGUAGUGCAGAGGUAGGCGGAAUUCCCGGUGUAGCGGUGGAAUGCGUAGAUAUCGGGAGGAACACCAGUGGCGAAGGCGGCCUACUGGGCACCAACUGGCGCUGAGGCUCGAAAGUGUGGGUAGCAAACAGGAUUGGAUACCCUGGUAGUCCACACCGUAAACGAUGAUUACUAGGUGUUGGAGGAUUGACCCCUUCAGUGCCGCAGUUAACACAAUAAGUAAUCCACCUGGGGAGUACGACCGCAAGGUUGCAACUCAAAGGAAUUGACGGA
rnacentral:rRNA from 1 species